rnacentral:rRNA from 1 species
GGGUCAGUAGGUUGGUCGUGCCACCGGUACGUACUGGUCUCACUGAUUCCUCCUUCCUGAAGAACCGUAAUGCCAUUAAUUUGGUGUUGCGGGGAAACAGGACUGUUACUUUGAAAAAUUAGAGUGUUUAAAGCAAGCUAACGCUUGAAUACGUUAGCAUGGAAUAAUGAAAUAGGACGAUCGAUCCUAUUUUGUUGGUUUCUAGGAUUGACGUA